UUGAAACCCCAGUUCCUGUGCGAUCACCGCAGUUAAGCAACGUCGAGCCUGGUCAUUACCUAGAUGGUUGACCGCUUGAGAAUACCAGGUGCUGCAAG